rnacentral:rRNA from 1 species
UACGUAGGGGGCAAGCGUUGUCCGGAUUUAUUGGGCGUAAAGAGCGUGUAGGCGGUUCGGUAGGUCCGUUGUGAAAACUCGAGCUCAACCUCGAGACGCCGAUGGAAACCCUCGAACUAGAGUCCGGAAGAGGAGAAUGGAAUUCCUGGUGUAGCGGUGAAAUGCGCAGAUAUCAGGAAGAACACCCGUGGCUAAGGCGGUUCUCUAGUACGGUACUGACGCUGAGACGCGAAAGCGUGGGGAGCGAACAGG